CUGGGCGUUAAGUUGCAGGGUAUAGACCCGAAACCCGGUGAUCUAGCCAUGGGCAGGUUGAAGGUUGGGUAACACUAACUGGAGGACCGAACCGACUAAUGUUGAAAAAUUAGCGGAUGACUUGUGGCUGGGGGUGAAAGGCCAAUCAAACCGGGAGAUAGCUGGUUCUCCCCGAAAGCUAUUUAGGUAGCGCCUCGUGAAUUCAUCUCCGGGGGUAGAGCACUGUUUCGGCAAGGGGGUCAUCCCGACUUACCAACCCGAUGCAAACUGCGAAUACCGGAGAAUGUUAUCACGGGAGACACACGGCGGGUGCUAACGUCCGUCGUGAAGAGGGAAACAACCCAGACCGCCAGCUAAGGUCCCAAAGUCAUGGUUAAGUGGGAAACGAUGUGGGAAGGCCCAGACAGCCAGGAUGUUGGCUUAGAAGCAGCCAUCAUUUAAAGAAAGCGUAAUAGCUCACUGGUCGAGUCGGCCUGCGCGGAAGAUGUAACGGGGCUAAACCAUGCACCGAAGCUGCGGCAGCGACGCUGAUGCGUUGUUGGGUAGGGGAGCGUUCUGUAAGCCUGCGAAGGUGUGCUGUGAGGCAUGCUGGAGGUAUCAGAAGUGCGAAUGCUGACAUAAGUAACGAUAAAGCGGGUGAAAAGCCCGCUCGCCGGAAGACCAAGGGUUCCUGUCCAACGUUAAUCGGGGCAGGGUGAGUCGACCCCUAAGGCGAGGCCGAAAGGCGUAGUCGAUGGGAAACAGGUUAAUAUUCCUGUACUUGGUGUUACUGCGAAGGGGGGACGGAGAAGGCUAUGUUGGCCGGGCGACGGUUGUCCCGGUUUAAGCGUGUAGGCUGGUUUUCCAGGCAAAUCCGGAAAAUCAAGGCUGAGGCGUGAUGACGAGGCACU
rnacentral:rRNA from 1 species